rnacentral:misc_RNA from 1 species
GAUGAAGAACGUAGCGAAAUGCGAUAAGUAAUGUGAAUUGCAGAAUUCAGUGAAUCAUCGAGUCUUUGAACGCACAUUGCGCCCCCUGGUAUUCCUGGGGGCAUGCCUGUCCGAGCGUCAUUGCUGCCCUCAAGCACGGCUUGUGUGUUGGGCCCCCGUCCCCGGUUUCCCCCGGGGACGGGCCCGAAAGGCAGCGGCGGCACCGCGUCCGGUCCUCGAGCGUAUGGGGCUUUGUCACCCGCUCUGUAGGCCCGGCCGGCGCCAGCCGACACCCAACUUUAUUUCUAAGGUUGACCUCGGAUCAGGUAGGGAUACCCGCUGAACUUAAGCAUAUCAAUAAGCGGAGGA